UACGAGGGGGGCAAAUGUUGUUCGGAAUCACUGGGCGUAAAGGGAGCGUAGGCGGGUUCUUAAGUUAGGUGUUUAAUCCCGGGGCCCAACCCCGGACCGGCACUUAAAACUGGGAAUCUUGAAUAGUGGAGAGGUCAGUGGAAUUGGGGGUGUAGCGGUGGAAUGCGUAGAGAUCCCCAAGAACACCAGUUGCGAAGGCGGCUGACUGGACACAUAUUGACGCUGAGGCUCGAAAGCAUGGGGAGCAAACGGG
rnacentral:rRNA from 1 species